AUCCAGUUGACGAGUCUCAAAUAGGACGAAAUGAGCUUUAUCCUGGAU
rfam:Trichobilharzia regenti genome assembly, scaffold: TRE_scaffold0012468